ACACGACUCUCGGCAACGGAUAUCUCGGCUCUCGCAUCGAUGAAGAACGUAGCGAAAUGCGAUACCUGGUGUGAAUUGCAGAAUCCCGCGAACCAUCGAGUCUUUGAACGCAAGUUGCGCCCGAGGCCACUCGGCCGAAGGGCGCCUGCCUGGGCGUCACGC
rnacentral:rRNA from 5 species